rnacentral:rRNA from 1 species
AUUUAGUAGCGAAGUUCCUGAUGUCACACUGCCAAGAAAAAGCUUCUAGUGAGAAAGUAACUGCCCGUACCGCAAACCGACACAGGUAGUUGAGGAGAGAAUCCUAAGGUGUGCGAGAGAACUCUCGUUAAGGAACUCGGCAAAAUGACCCCGUAACUUCGGGAGAAGGGGUGCUGACCGCAAGGUCAGCCGCAGUGAAUAGGCCCAAGCGACUGUUUAUCAAAAACACAGGUCUCUGCAAAAUCGAAAGAUGACGUAUAGGGGCUGACGCCUGCCCGGUGCUGGAAGGUUAAGAGGAGAGGUUAGCGCAAGCGAAGCUUUGAAUUGAAGCCCCAGUAAACGGCGGCCGUAACGAUAACGGUCCUAAGGUAGCGAAAUUCCUUGUCGGGUAAGUUCCGACCCGCACGAAAGGCGUAACGAUUUGGGCACUGUCUCAACGAGAGACUCGGUGAAAUUAUAGUACCAGUGAAGAUGCUGGUUACCCGCGACAGGACGGAAAGACCCCAUGGAGCUUUACUGCAGUUUGAUAUUGCGUGUUUGUAUCACAUGUACAGGAUAGGUAGGAGCCGAAGAUACCGGGACGCCAGUCUCGGAGGAGGCAACGGUGGGAUACUACCCUUGUGAUAUGACCACUCUAACCCGCUGCUCUUAGCGAGCAGGGAGACAGUGUCAGACGGGCAGUUUGACUGGGGCGGUCGCCUCCAAAAAUGUAACGGAGGCGCCCAAAGGUUCCCUCAGAAUGGUUGGAAAUCAUUCGUAGAGUGUAAAGGCAGAAGGGAGCUUGACUGCGAGACCUACAAGUCGAGCAGGGACGAAAGUCGGGCUUAGUGAUCCGGUGGUUCCGCAUGGAAGGGCCAUCGCUCAACGGAUAAAAGCUACCCUGGGGAUAACAGGCUUAUCUCCCCCAAGAGUUCACAUCGACGGGGAGGUUUGGCACCUCGAUGUCGGCUCAUCGCAUCCUGGGGCUGUAGUCGGUCCCAAGGGUUGGGCUGUUCGCCCAUUAAAGCGGUACGCGAGCUGGGUUCAGAACGUCGUGAGACAGUUCGGUCCCUAUCCGUCGCGGGCGUUGGAAAUUUGAGAGGAGCUGUCCUUAGUACGAGAGGGCCGGGAUGGACACACCGCUGGUGUACCAGUUGUUCUGCCAAGAGCAUCGCUGGGUAGCUAUGUGUGGACGGGAUAAACGCUGAAAGCAUCUAAGCGUGAAGCCCCCCUCAAGAUGAGAUUUCCCAUCACUUUAAGUGAGUAAGACCCCUGAGAGAUGAUCAGGUAGAUAGGUUGGGAGUGGAAGUACAGCGAUGUAUGGAGCGGACCAAUACUAAUCGGUCGAGGACUUAACU